GGGUUGUGAGGUUAAGCGACUAAGCGUACACGGUGGAUGCCCUGGCAGUCAGAGGCGAUGAAGGGCGUGCUAAUCUGCGAUAAGCGCCGGUAAGGUGAUAUGAACCGUUAUAACCGGCGAUACCCGAAUGGGGAAACCCAGUGUGAUUCGUCACACUAUCAUUAACUGAAUCCAUAGGUUAAUGAGGCGAACCGGGGGAACUGAAACAUCUAAGUACCCCGAGGAAAAGAAAUCAACCGAGAUUCCCCCAGUAGCGGCGAGCGAACGGGGAGGAGCCCAGAGCCUGAAUCAGCAUGUGUGUUAGUGGAAGCGUCUGGAAAGGCGCGCGAUACAGGGUGACAGCCCCGUACACAAAAGCGCAUGUGCUGUGAGCUCGAUGAGUAGGGCGGGACACGUGGUAUCCUGUCUGAAUAUGGGGGGACCAUCCUCCAAGGCUAAAUACUCCUGACUGACCGAUAGUGAACCAGUACCGUGAGGGAAAGGCGAAAAGAACCCCGGCGAGGGGAGUGAAAAAGAACCUGAAACCGUGUACGUACAAGCAGUGGGAGCCCCACCACCAAAGCAUUCUCUGGUGUUGAAGGCCCUGCAAAGCAGCAUCGCGGUGGCGGAGCGUCGUUUGCGACGCCCAACACACAAAACAAGCGGUGAAUGCUUUGGGGUGGGGUGACUGCGUACCUUUUGUAUAAUGGGUCAGCGACUUAUAUUCUGUAGCAAGGUUAACCGAAUAGGGGAGCCGGAGGGAAACCGAGUCUUAAUUGGGCGUUAAGUUGCAGGGUAUAGACCCGAAACCCGGUGAUCUAGCCAUGGGCAGGUUGAAGGUUGGGUAACACUAACUGGAGGACCGAACCGACUAAUGUUGAAAAAUUAGCGGAUGACCUGUGGCUGGGGGUGAAAGGCCAAUCAAACCGGGAGAUAGCUGGUUCUCCCCGAAAGCUAUUUAGGUAGCGCCUCGUGAAUUCAUCUCCGGGGGUAGAGCACUGUUUCGGCUAGGGGGCCAUCCCGGCUUACCAACCCGAUGCAAACUGCGAAUACCGGAGAAUGUUAUCACGGGAGACACACGGCGGGUGCUAACGUCCGUCGUGAAGAGGGAAACAACCCAGACCGCCAGCUAAGGUCCCAAAGUCAUGGUUAAGUGGGAAACGAUGUGGGAAGGCCCAGACAGCCAGGAUGUUGGCUUAGAAGCAGCCAUCAUUUAAAGAAAGCGUAAUAGCUCACUGGUCGAGUCGGCCUGCGCGGAAGAUGUAACGGGGCUAAACCAUGCACCGAAGCUGCGGCAGCGACGCUGAUGCGUUGUUGGGUAGGGGAGCGUUCUGUAAGCCUGCGAAGGUGACCUGUGAGGGUUGCUGGAGGUAUCAGAAGUGCGAAUGCUGACAUAAGUAACGAUAAAGCGGGUGAAAAGCCCGCUCGCCGGAAGACCAAGGGUUCCUGUCCAACGUUAAUCGGGGCAGGGUGAGUCGACCCCUAAGGCGAGGCCGAAAGGCGUAGUCGAUGGGAAACGGGUUAAUAUUCCCGUACUUGGUGUUACUGCGAAGGGGGGACGGAGAAGGCUAUGUUGGCCGGGCGACGGUUGUCCCGGUUUAAGCGUGUAGGUGUGUGUUCCAGGUAAAUCCGGUUCACUUUAACACUGAGGCGUGAUGACGAGGCACUACGGUGCUGAAGCAACAAAUGCCCUGCUUCCAGGAAAAGCCUCUAAGCAUCAGGUAACAUCAAAUCGUACCCCAAACCGACACAGGUGGUCAGGUAGAGAAUACCAAGGCGCUUGAGAGAACUCGGGUGAAGGAACUAGGCAAAAUGGUGCCGUAACUUCGGGAGAAGGCACGCUGACACGUAGGUGAAGUGAUUUACUCACGGAGCUGAAGUCAGUCGAAGAUACCAGCUGGCUGCAACUGUUUAUUAAAAACACAGCACUGUGCAAACACGAAAGUGGACGUAUACGGUGUGACGCCUGCCCGGUGCCGGAAGGUUAAUUGAUGGGGUCAGCGCAAGCGAAGCUCCUGAUCGAAGCCCCGGUAAACGGCGGCCGUAACUAUAACGGUCCUAAGGUAGCGAAAUUCCUUGUCGGGUAAGUUCCGACCUGCACGAAUGGCGUAAUGAUGGCCAGGCUGUCUCCACCCGAGACUCAGUGAAAUUGAACUCGCUGUGAAGAUGCAGUGUACCCGCGGCAAGACGGAAAGACCCCGUGAACCUUUACUAUAGCUUGACACUGAACAUUGAGCCUUGAUGUGUAGGAUAGGUGGGAGGCUUUGAAGUGUGGACGCCAGUCUGCAUGGAGCCGACCUUGAAAUACCACCCUUUAAUGUUUGAUGUUCUAACGUGGACCCGUAAUCCGGGUUGCGGACAGUGUCUGGUGGGUAGUUUGACUGGGGCGGUCUCCUCCUAAAGAGUAACGGAGGAGCACGAAGGUUGGCUAAUCCUGGUCGGACAUCAGGAGGUUAGUGCAAUGGCAUAAGCCAGCUUGACUGCGAGCGUGACGGCGCGAGCAGGUGCGAAAGCAGGUCAUAGUGAUCCGGUGGUUCUGAAUGGAAGGGCCAUCGCUCAACGGAUAAAAGGUACUCCGGGGAUAACAGGCUGAUACCGCCCAAGAGUUCAUAUCGACGGCGGUGUUUGGCACCUCGAUGUCGGCUCAUCACAUCCUGGGGCUGAAGUAGGUCCCAAGGGUAUGGCUGUUCGCCAUUUAAAGUGGUACGCGAGCUGGGUUUAGAACGUCGUGAGACAGUUCGGUCCCUAUCUGCCGUGGGCGCUGGAGAACUGAGGGGGGCUGCUCCUAGUACGAGAGGACCGGAGUGGACGCAUCACUGGUGUUCGGGUUGUCAUGCCAAUGGCACUGCCCGGUAGCUAAAUGCGGAAGAGAUAAGUGCUGAAAGCAUCUAAGCACGAAACUUGCCCCGAGAUGAGUUCUCCCUGAGACUUUAGGUCUCCUGAAGGAACGUUGAAGACGACGACGUUGAUAGGCCGGGUGUGUAAGCGCAGCGAUGCGUUGAGCUAACCGGUACUAAUGAACCGUGAGGCUUAACCUUACAACGCCGAAG
rnacentral:rRNA from 2 species